rnacentral:rRNA from 1 species
UACCCAGUUCCUGAGUUCCCCGACAAACAACGACGGGACUCUGUUUGAUCGGACCGGCCUGCAGGAGGAGGACUUUCAACAGACGAACCUCUGGACUUCGAACAUGGCGAGGUCGUACAGUCCUUAGUGCAAGAAACUUUGCAGGCUCCGGGAACGGUGGCCGCCGCUCUCCCCUCGCUAAAGUACCUACCUGGGUCUGGAACACUUACC